rnacentral:rRNA from 1 species
GUAAUGUACUUUCCCUUCGGGGCAGGAGUGACAGGUGGUGCAUGGUUGUCGUCAGCUCGUGUCGUGAGAUGUUGGGUUAAGUCCCGCAACGAGCGCAACCCCUGUCCUUAGUAGCCAGCAGUAAGAUGGGCACUCUAGGGAGACUGCCAGGGAUAACCUGGAGGAAGGCGGGGAUGACGUCAAAUCAUCAUGCCCCUUAUGACUUGGGCUACACACGUGCUACAAUGGCGUAAACAAAGGGAAGCAAUCCCGUGAGGGGGAGCAAAUCCCAAAAAUAACGUCUCAGUUCGGACUGUAGUCUGCAACCCGACUACACGAAGCUGGAAUCGCUAGUAAUCGCGAAUCAGAAUGUCGCGGUGAAUACGUUCCCGGGUCUUGUACACACCGAA